GAUGAACGCUAGCGGCAGGCCUAACACAUGCAAGUCGAGGGGUAGAGAGGUGCUUGCACCUUUUGAGACCGGCGCACGGGUGAGUAACGCGUAUGCAAUCUGCCUUGUACAGGGGAAUAGCCCAGGGAAACUUGGAUUAAUGCCCCAUGGUCUAUAUUGAAGGCAUCAGAUAUAUAGUAAAGAUUUAUCGGUACAAGAUGAGCAUGCGUACCAUUAGCUGGUUGGUGUGGUAACGGCACACCAAGGCUACGAUGGUUAGGGGCCCUGAGAGGGGGAUCCCCCACACUGGUACUGAGACACGGACCAGACUCCUACGGGAGGCAGCAGUGAGGAAUAUUGGACAAUGGGCGAGAGCCUGAUCCAGCCAUGCCGCGUGCAGGAAGACUGCCCUAUGGGUUGUAAACUGCUUUUUUACGGGAAGAAACACCCCCUCGUGAGGGGGCUUGACGGUACCGUACGAAUAAGGAUCGGCUAACUCCGUGCCAGCAGCCGCGGUAAUACGGAGGAUCCAAGCGUUAUCCGGAAUCAUUGGGUUUAAAGGGUCCGUAGGCGGGCGAUUAAGUCAGUGGUGAAAUUCUGCAGCUCAACUGUAGAACUGCCAUUGAUACUGGUCGUCUUGAAUCGUUGUGAAGUGGCUAGAAUAUGUGGUGUAGCGGUGAAAUGCUUAGAUAUCACAUAGAAUACCGAUUGCGAAGGCAGGUCACUAACAACGCAUUGACGCUGAUGGACGAAAGCGUGGGGAGCGAACAGG
rnacentral:rRNA from 1 species